rnacentral:lncRNA from 1 species
GGGACGUCACCAGGCUCUGCACCUGAGGCUGGAGAACUUGGAAGCUCGUGGCCGCGUUCUGGUACAGGACGGGCUGCUGGAUGAUCCUGGUCUGGGGCGCAGAGCUGAAGGUGGGGGCGAUCAUCACCGUCUGCUGCUGGAGCUGUGGCUGGAGCUGGGGCCGGGGCUGGAGCAGCGGGGCCGGGCGCUGCGGGGCCGGGGGCGCCUUCACCGGGACGCUCUGCAGCUGUGGAGAGGCGGCGGGCGGAGGGAAGGGCUGCGGGGCCUGGCCAUAGGGCCGCGCGGCAUCCAGGGCCCCGACGCCCGUGCCACUGCCACCACCGCCACCGCCACCCUGGAAGGUGCCGCACAGAGGGUCCG